AACGUAGGUGGCGAGCGUUAUCCGGAUUUACUGGGCGUAAAGCGUGUGCAGGCGGGGCGACAAGUGGUGUAUGAAAUUUCCCGGCUUAACCGGGAAGGGUUAUGCCAGACUGUCUUUCUGGAGUGCGAGAGAGGGGCGUGGAAUUCCGGGUGUAGUGGUGAAAUGCGUAGAGAUCCGGAGGAACCCCAGAGGCGAAGGCGGCGCCCUGGCUCGCAACUGACGCUCAGACACGACAGCAUGGGGAGCGAACGGG
rnacentral:rRNA from 1 species